GUAGGUGGCAAGCGUUGUCCGGAAUUAUUGGGCGUAAAGCGCGCGCAGGGCGGUCCUUUAAGUCUGAUGUGAAAGCCCACGGCUCAACCGUGGAGGGUCAUUGGAAACUGGGGGACUUGAGUACAGAAGUGGAAAGCGGAAUUCCAAGUGUAGCGGUGAAAUGCGUAGAGAUUUGGAGGAACACCAGUGGCGAAGGCGGCUUUCUGGUCUGUAACUGACGCUGAGGCGCGAAAGCGUGGGGAGCAAACAGGAUUAGAUACCCUGGUAGUCCACGCCGUAAACGAUGAGUGCUAAGUGUUAGGGGGUUUCCGCCCCUUAGUGCUGCAGCUAACGCAUUAAGCACUCCGCCUGGGGAGUACGGCCGCAAGGCUG
rnacentral:rRNA from 1 species